rnacentral:rRNA from 1 species
AACGAACGCUGGCGGCAUGCCUAACACAUGCAAGUCGAACGAGACCUUCGGGUCUAGUGGCGCACGGGUGCGUAACGCGUGGGAACCUGCCCUUAGGUUCGGAAUAACUCUCCGAAAGGGGUGCUAAUAUCGGAUAAUGUCUUCGGACCAAAGAUUUAUCGCCUUUGGAUGGGCCCGCGUUGGUUUAGCUUGUUGGUAGGGUAAAAGCCUACCAAGGCGACGAUCCAUAGCUGGUCUGAGAGGAUGAUCAGCCACACUGGGACUGAGACACGGCCCAGACUCCUACGGGAGGCAGCAGUGGGGAAUAUUGGACAAUGGGCGAAAGCCUGAUCCAGCAAUGCCGCGUGAGUGAUGAAGGCCUUAGGGUUGUAAAGCUCUUUUACCCGGGAUGAUAAUGACAGUACCGGAAGAAUAAGCUCCGGCUAACUCCGUG